GAACGCUGGCGGCAUGCCUUACACAUGCAAGUCGAACGGCAGCACGGGAGCAAUCCUGGUGGCGAGUGGCGAACGGGUGAGUAAUAUAUCGGAACGUGCCCGGUCGUGGGGGAUAACGUAGCGAAAGCUACGCUAAUACCGCAUACGAUCUAAGGAUGAAAGCGGGGGAUCGCAAGACCUCGCGCGAUUGGAGCGGCCGAUAUCAGAUUAGGUAGUUGGUGAGGUAAAGGCUCACCAAGCCAACGAUCUGUAGCUGGUCUGAGAGGACGACCAGCCACACUGGAACUGAGACACGGUCCAGACUCCUACGGGAGGCAGCAGUGGGGAAUUUUGGACAAUGGACGCAAGUCUGAUCCAGCCAUUCCGCGUGCAGGAUGAAGGCCCUCGGGUUGUAAACUGCUUUGUACGGAACGAAAAGGUUUCUAUUAAUACUAGGAGCUCAUGACGGUACCGUAAGAAUAAGCACCGGCUAACUACGUG
rnacentral:rRNA from 1 species